GCGAAGCGAACGCCCUCCGGUUUGGCCGUGCUGGCGCCCCGCGCACGUGCACGCCGCCGUUGGGCAGUCCAAUUCUCACACCCGUGCACACGUCCCGUCGGGACCCGGCGCUCCGCGUCGCCCCGACCGUUUACACAUCAGCCAUGUAGAGUGUCGAAAGCGUCUGCGCUUGCGCAACCGAAAAA
rnacentral:misc_RNA from 1 species